GGUUUCCUAGAUUGUACAGAUG
rnacentral:miRNA from 1 species